GUCUAUGGCCAUGCCACCCUGAACAUGCCUAAUCUCCUCUGAUCUCUGGAGCUAAGCAGGGUCAGGCCUGCUUAGUACUUGGAUGGGAGACCACCUAGGAAUACUAGGUGCUGUAGGUG
rnacentral:rRNA from 1 species